rnacentral:snRNA from 1 species
GGAUGUGAGGGUGAUCUGGCUGUGACAUCUGUCACUCCACCGAUGGCCAGCUUUGAUUCCGCUGACCUGGCUGGUUAGGCGCCUUUCCCCUGCCUCCUCAGCCAUCCAUACCCAUUCCUCUUGAAUACACCCACUGGGUGGAAGACCACCACCUUCCCACAUAGAGGAUGGAUCAGUGGUCAACGUAAUAGGAGCAGCUGUGAUCCCCGCCCUACUAGAACCUCCAAACAAACUCUAACGGUCCAUUUGUAGAACAGUGUAGAGAGGUCAAACUUCCAAGAUUCUAGACACAUCCAAAUGAGGAGUUGCAUGUGAUAUUCUGUCUUUCUUU